rnacentral:rRNA from 1 species
AGAGUUUGAUUAUGGCUCAGGAUGAACGCUGGCGGCGUGCCUAACACAUGCAAGUCGAACGGACCUUAUAAUGACAGAGACUUCGGUCGACGAAGUUUAAGGUUAGUGGCGGACGGGUGAGUAACGCGUGGAGAACCUGCCCCUGUACUGGAGGAUAACAGUGAGAAAUUACUGCUAAUACCGCAUAAGCGCACGGGACCGCAUGGUCCUGUGUGAAAAACUCCGGUGGUACAGGAUGGCUCCGCGUUGGAUUAGCCAGUUGGCGGGGUAACGGCCCACCAAAGCGACGAUCCAUAGCCGGCCUGAGAGGGUGAACGGCCACAUUGGGACUGAGACACGGCCCAGACUCCUACGGGAGGCAGCAGUGGGGAAUAUUGCACAAUGGGGGGAACCCUGAUGCCAGCGACGCCGCGUGAAGGAAGAAGUAUCUCGGUAUGUAAACUUCUAUCAGCAGGGAAGAAAAUGACGGUACCUGACUAAGAAGCCCCGGCUAACUACGUGCCAGCAGCCGC